rnacentral:ncRNA from 1 species
UAUUGAUAAUAGUACACUUAUUGAAAGGUAAGGUCACAAAGCCAUGGGUCUAAGGAAUGUUAUGUCUAUGAUUGCCAGGCUACUAAG